AGCCAUAGACUGUAUAUAGAAUGGACAGAGUCUGCCUCCUUGCUGGGUGAAGCCACUCCGAGAACAGCACCCUCUGUUGAUGGGCUGCAGUAUAGGUCAUAAAUCCCGCCUCUGCCAGCAAAGCUUAUGGGGCUGUGGACAAACUUUAGAAAUUUAUUACACAGAACAUAAUUUUUUCUCCCCCCUGCUUGUGGUGUUGACAUGUAGUUACAGUAAAACUGGCUGGUGCUCAAGUCCUCUUUUUUCCGUGAAGCUCCGUUUUCAAAAGUUAUUAGGGGGUUCGUGUUUGCUAUGAUUGACACCUGAUACAGCCUAUGGGCAUUCAGGGAUACGUUGUUUGAGCUGAGCGUCAUCACAGCGACUCACGGCGACUGCGCGGCCGAAUGCGCACGUCGCUACUGCGCAGCAGGAAAUGAAGAAAAAUCCCGGAAAUACCAAGAGCUAUUUGGCUUCAAAUUCGUAUACAAGCAGGAGGCGGAACCAAGUUGUCCAUAGUAUAUACAGUCUAUGUUUGUGGCGCAGUGACCCGCUCACUAUGGUAUUAGCAGACAGCAGGGCCACACACAAGUGAUGGCGUUUAAUAAUCUCAGUCCUUUUCAGUGGACUGAGAGGCAUCAGGAAUACUACAGUGAUUAUUUACCCAUCUUUAAACCAUAAAGGAAGGAAAAUAAGGGAGGAAAUCAACAUGACAAGGUCGAAACCCAUAUCUCUGACAACCAUGAAAUGACAUUUGAGAAAAGUCUGGUCUGAAGGGUUGUGUAUCUGCAAAAAAACACUACUUCAUCCACAAAACAAGAAUAGAUAUGAGUGGGAAAAGCUCACAAAAAUUGGACUUAUGAUGACUAGAAACAAGUUUGCACUGUUUGGUUCAAAACACAGAGUCUAUAUCCGCAGACAAACUGGUGAACGUCUGAAAGCACCAUGUGUUACACCCACAAUUCAGCAUGGAGGUGGUAGUUCCAUGGUAUGGGGAUGUUUUGCAGGUGUUGGAGUAGGAGAUUUGUUUGAAGUAAAGGGUAUCAUGAAGAAGGAACAGUACCACUCCAUCCUCCAGCACCAUGCUGAUCUAUCUGGACUCAGACUUGUGGGUCAGUAGUUUGUUUUGCAGCAAGACAAGGACCCUAAGCACUCUGCCAAGCUCUGUCAGGGUUACCUAGACAAAAAAGAAGAGGAAGGUGUUCUUCAAAAGAUGGUUUGGCCCCCUCAGUCUCCAGACCUCUCUCCAAUUGAGCUUGUGCGGGAUGAAUUGGAUCGAUUGGUCAGAAAAAUGCGUCCCACGAAUCAGCAGUCUCUUUUUAAUGAACUUAGAAAGCUUGGAAUGCAAUCCCUGGAACAUACCUUAAAAAACUUGUGGAACAAAUGCCUGGUAUAUGCCAAGCUGUUGUUAAAGCAAGAGGAGGUUACUUUAAAGAAAACAAAGUCUAAGCAACAAUAACUCAAAUACCUAAUAAUUAUAGUCAAAAUGUCCUCUGAUAAGUUACUCUUUACACAAUAGUCAUGUUUAUUGUGUUGCAAAUUAUAUAAAUGAAACUAUGAUCUUUUUUUGUACAAAUCUGAUCUUGCUUCCAAACUUUUGGCCUGUAGUGUAAAUGCACUAAGCCUAUGUAAAAUACGAUGUGUAAACAGUGAUACAAGUUUUGGUGCUGACGCCAAGACAAUACGGGGCCGUCCUCGUGUGAGGAGAGCUUCAAGAUGCGCCACUUACGAUGUCGUUAUUUGCGGUUUUGUUGUGGCUGUUUGCAACUGUGCUUUUCCUGUGCUUCUACUGUAGGUUUACUUCUGUUAACUUUAUUCGCGCUCAUGUUGUGGCUAUUUGCAUUCACAUUUUUUUUCUUUUGCAAAGCGUUUUCAAUAUGCAAAUUCCCUGACACUUCCCAGCCACUGUAAAUAUGUAAUUAAUUAAAUGACAACAGGUCAUAGAGUUUUUAUUUUAGGUACAGUCCUAUCCCUCCUCUCUUUAAGUAUGAAUAAGGGAACUUUUUAAAUGUUAAUAAGAUAGUUUCUGACAGCUUUUAAAAUAACCUGUAACAUUUAAUAUUGAGGUCCCUCUGAAAGGAAUUAAUUCAUGAUUAACAUAGUAAAUAAUUACCAAUAAGACCUUAAAAGAUGCUUAUAAUCAUUUACAAGAAUCAAUAACUGUAUAUAAAAUCACAAUUAACUCAUUCUAUAAUUGUCUAAAGGCAUCAAUAGGCUUUCAUGAAAAACGUAUCAGUUGAUAUACCUGUCUAAUGUUAUUUGUAUGUAUAUACAAAUAACAUACAUAAUAUAUAAUGUUAAUUUAUGCCAAUUAAAGUUAAUACAUGCUCUUUAAAUUAUUAGAAGGUUCUAGUUCGAGCCAAUAGGGAAGUUUAUUAUCAAUAAAGAUGUUAAUCAUGAUAAUAAGAGUUUUAACAAUUAUUUUAAUUAAAUUCUAAAAGCUUUUGUAAUGUAUUUGCUGUCAAGUUUUCUGCCAGGGUUUCCUGUUGAUUACUCUUUAAUGAACUCUUACAAAUCUUUUUAAUGUUAAUACGCUUCCAUUUGGUGUUUAUAACACAUAUAUAAACUUUUGACAAGUGUCUUAUAAGAGUCUUAAAGUGUCUAAAAAGCAACAUUAUGUUCAUUAUGUUUUUAUAAAUUCUUAUCAACACAUAAAAAUAUUUCUUAAAAUCUUAUAAGUCCCAUGAGUGGCUCAAUAACUAUAAAUCAAUUCUUAAUCCAAGGAUCCUAAUAUAAACUGUUACCAUUAACUCUUCUUUAUGUACGUCAGGCAUCUGUAUCAAGUAAAGAGUGGUGAUAUAGGAAUGUCCUGAAGAUUUUUCCAAACCAAAAUAUUUCAGUAUUUCUCAAGUCUGGUCUGAUUUUUUAUCUUUGAGCAAUUUCAAGCGUUUAAUUAUUUGUGUGCUAGUGAAUAUUUAUGUAACCUUUAGCGGUGUAAAGUAAACCAUGUCGAGGAAAAAUACAAAGUUCUCCUUCCAUAGUUAGCAAAGAAUUUAUGCUUCUUCUGGCAGGAAGCUAAGCCUAUAGUAAGAUAGUCACUUUAAAACAGCAUCAUCCAAUGAAAAUGUGAACUGAUCUGACACUUUAAAUCACUAAAUAAUUAAAUUAGAUAAUAAAUAUUAAACUUUUGGCCUUCUAAAUUAGCUCACAAGUCAACAAAACGAUAGUUGUAUGUUAACAUAUGAAACUCAUGAGACUUUUUUUUCCCUUCAAAUUUACAAUACCGAAAGGGCAUCCAAAGGGUUUUGCAGGUAACAUACUCAAGAGCAUCCAGAGAGCACGUCUUAAUGUGUCUUUUGAGGCACAGAAGAAAGGGUACUUUUAAACUUUGAUUGGAUGUAAAGGCCCCCAAAUUGCUCUGUGUCACAUUUCAACUACUAACAAUAAAAUUUUCCAAUAUCGACAAAUAAAAAAAUCUGAGCUUCUUCUAUAAACCCUAAAUUAAUAAAAACAACACACAUCGCAGUGAGACAUCCUGUGUGCACAGAUUUUUAAGUGUAUACCCUGCCAGCUAAAUACAAACAGCUAAACAGAAAACAGGUGAUUUUACAGGUUAAACAGGAAACCAUUUUACAAACUCAUCCCCAGAUGGCUGCAAUCCACAGCUACAGGUCAUAAACAAGCUCUCACACCUGGAGAGUAGCACAUACCUCAGGCUUGGAUUAAUUAACUCAGGGAGGCUGCCUCGUUGACUGUGUGCACUUAAAACAAUGAACAGGAAUGCACUGUAAUUUAUACAUAAUCCAUUUAAUCAUAGGAGUACUCAAGGUGGAGGGAUUGAGAGGAUAAACUGCUUUAUAGAGUCUUAGCAGGUUAACCCUUGAUGUGUCCCCAUGAUGUAUUCAGGUGCUUUUGUGCUGAAACUCCAACUGAAGAAAUCUAACCUGCAAAAAAAACAACUUUUUAUUUACCUGGAAGGGACUCUAGGGGGAUCAAAAUAACCUAACCCUAACCCCUAACCCUAACCCUAACGGUCAAUUAAAUGAAGAAAUAAAAUUGUUAGUAAAUAAUAAAAUGCAGAAAUCCGAAGUCACAAUGCAGGAGAAGAGGAGUAAUUGAUGUGUGGGGGAAUGAUGUGAAGAAUAUCGAAUAAGUGAAGAACAGGAAGAGAUGGAGGGGAAAAAUAAUUUUGCUGUUUAGAUAAGAUGUAAUGCUUGGUGCACGUGCCUGUUAGUCUUAAUCAGUUGUAUUUUGCUUUAUUUGGUAAAGACAGAAAAGCUUAAAUCUAAGAAUAAUAUCACUGGUUGAAAAAACCAUGUACGGAAACUACACUUUUUCACUUUUUUCAAGUUUUUUUUUUUUUUUUUUGGACUUUUGGAAUUGUUUAUAUAAUGCACCAGAUUUCAUAUAGCGCUUUAUCACAGACCCUCAAAAUGCUUUACAUUAAAUACAUCAUUCAUUCGCUCACACAGUCACACCUUGGUGGUGGUAAACUACCUUAGUAGUCACAUCUGCCCUGGGGCAGACUGACAGAAACACGGCUGCCAGUUUACGCCUACGGCCUCUCACACCAAUACCACACAACACUCACAUUCAUACACCAGUGGAGAACACACACUGGGAGCAAGGUAGGUUAAGUGUCUUGCUCAAGGACACAACGGACAGACUAGGGAUUGUGGGGAUCAAAACGCCAACCUUCCGGUUAUUGGACGACCGCUCUAUCGCCUGAGCUACUGUCACCCUGAAUACAUUUCUGUGUCAUGGGGGUUAUAAUAAUACAUCAUGGAUACAGAGUAUCCACAUGGUAUGUGAGAAUGGUUUUCCUGGAUAGCCUGUGUUCAGCACGCUGCAUGAACCCUGUGCAGGAAAAAGUCAUAAACUCUUCCACACAGGGAGGUUAAGCUUUGUGCUUUUUCUUGUUCCAGCUCCAACUUCCUCACACAAACUCACGUUUCCACAGUUUUUCCCUUAACAACAUUUUCUCUCUUUGAUAUGAUCCGGGGGUCAGGCCUUCUGAUGCAAUUAAGACCCCAUAAAGCAGCGGUGCUGGUGCUAGUUUGGCAUGCAAUAUCCCCCUGAAACCAAGGGCUGAGCGCUGCAGCCUCGGCUGCCUCCGUGCCCACUCGUGAAACUUGUGAUUAUGCAAACCAAGCUGUUUACCUUGGAUUACAAUCAAUAUCAAGGUGCCCUGUGAGAUUUGUAUUAAAGCAAACGGCAGCAGGCGGCUCUACCCUGUGAAGUGGGCAACAGCUGUGUGGAACAGCGAGCAGGACUGUGAGUGCCAGAUAAAAGAUGAAUUAUAGAUAUCCUGCCCCAGGGCUGAGUGUGGAGCUGAGCAAGGAGGGGUGGGGCUUAAACGGGAAGCAUCGAAAGUCUUGAGUAAUGACUCCCAGUGGUAGGGCGGGAAAAGGUGGACAAAUGUGAAGAAAGACGAUAAAUUACAGGAUGUAUUUUGUAGGUAUGCAGGCACAUGGCUCACUUAUCAUGCUGUGAAUUUCAAAGACAAAGGUUCAAGAGACUGUAAAAGAUGUGUCAGGGGCAAGGAUUUUCUCAGCUGGAACAGAAUUACAAUUUGGAGCUGCUCAAGUUCAAACACAUUGCAGUACCUCAGAGAGUGAUUGGCAUGUAAUUUCAAGCACUAUGUUUGAUGUACGGGCUCCAACUCUAAUGCUGCAGCGCUGCACAUGUCCAUGUCAGUGUUGUUUUUGUAGUAUUUGUCUUUUGGACAAAAAUGCUUAUCAUUUCUUAUCACAUUUUUGUCAUUUCUGUAUGUGAUAGUUUUAGUCCAGUUUUAGUCAACAAAUACUCAACAAGGUAUGAGUCUAGUUUUAAUCAGUUUUGUUAAAAAAAAAAUAAAAAAAAAAAGAAAGCAUUCGUCUUUCAACAAAUUAAUUUAAGUCAAUAAGUAUUGGAAAUUGGAAUCAAGGUUAGAAGGUUGUAUGAAGUGUUGAAAUUCAUAUAACAACAGUCAGUGGCAUGCACAGACAUUUUGAAGAGCAAAGGCCAUGUGAAAAAUAAGGGCACCUUGUGCAGCAUGUGGAACCACAAGCUGCCUUAUUAAGGUAGUGUGAGAUUACAAAAAAAAAGGCUUGUGUUGUACGUAAUUGCAUAUUUAUUUCAAUAUUGAAAUCUUUGUAUUCAAAUAAACUAUGGUCUUUAGCAUUGGAAACAACAACAAAAAAGCUUGUGUCUUGAAAACAAAUAACCAUAGGGUGGUGACAAAAUAACUCCAGACUUGAGUGAGCAUUAUCAUUCUCCUACUUUUAAGAAACAUCCUCCUUGGUGCCAUGUCUUUGAAGAUUCUGAUGACAACAAGGCAGACAGUUACUAUUUCUGUCAUUUCGCUAAUACAUGACUGCAAGUGGUAAUUAUGUGGCCUGUGAAUUUAUUUCCCCUCUGGGAUAAAUAGAGUUCUUCUUAUCAUAUCUUAAUGUAAACCUACAUAAUACUAAAUAUUUGAUCAGCUAUCCAAAUCAGAAUUAGUAUACUUGAUUCAUCACUGGGGGACGUUUGAUCAUCACAGCCUUACACUUGCUCCUGAAAAUACAAAAAUUAGUAGAAAGAGAAUAGAAGUUGUCGUUCAUGAACAAUUCGUUCAAAAUAACGAAACUGCUGAGUGAACAAUUUGAAUGGAAUCACUCCAAGACCUGAUUCUUACUUUUCUUAGUUGAGCUGAGCUGUGAGUUUAGCUGUCUUCUUACUGAGUCAGCUGUAAAGGACACUGUGGGGAUUCCUGGAGGGGGGGCGGGUAUAAGUGUCCUUCACAUUAGCAUACAGCAAGUCCAGGGUCUUCACCCCCUUUUUGGGCAACUCACAUACUACGUGAAGGUAUUCAUAACUGGGGUCAUCUGAGAUAAUAAGUCGGGCUGUGGUGGUGUCCACGAGGCUGCACGCCAUCAUCAGGUUAGUGGGAGGGGGGGUUGUAAUCAGCCACCAUGAUGACAUGUGAAAUCUCCAGAGGCAAAUAAUAUGGCCUGAAUCCUAUGACUUACAGUUCAGUGUUCCGGCUACAGAUGCGUUCUUUCAUCGUUAUAUGACCGGGACCUCACCAUCUGUUGUUAACAAGCACAACAAGCCCCCUUCCUCCUUUUCACUUAUUAUAUAUUGUCCACCUGGACAGUUUGGAAGCUGUUGAUGGUGACGGUGUCCUGAUGGAGCCAUGUUUAUAACAAAUCAAGUUGCACUCCCAAAACUCUGCUUGGCUCCUUGAGAGCCCCAUUUACUCGUCCAUCUUAUUUGCCAGAGAUCUCACAUUGCCUAUAAUGAGAGACGGUAGCCACGGCUAAUACCUCUGUCGUCUUGCCCCAGCUGACUUACCCUGCCAUUGUUUACGUCCUCUGCAUCAUCUAUGAGUGAAAUUCAGCUCUCCCACUAUACUAUAAAAAAAUCCUCAAUUCCCUUCAAGAAAUACUGUAUGUAGUUAGAAAAGGUUAAAGGGUUUGUUGAAAAAGGGAAAUUCUUGCUAUCAUGAGUUAGAAAAAAAGGCAAAGAGUACGAAAGUGAGCAACUGUGGCUGUAACAAGCUGCAUGAGCGAUCAAUGCAUGCGCACGACACAUGCGCACAGCUAAAGUAUUGCUUCACAUGCUGUACUAGUGACAAAUUCUACUCACAUUCGUUGUGAGGUGGUCAUCAUGUUAUAUCCAUUACUAUUGAUUUUCGUUAGGAUCUAGCUGUUUAGCAGGUGGGCAGUUGGCUAAUUUAGGCUCAGCUGUUUGGCACUGUAUGAGACAGGAUACUUAACAACAGAAACAAAUAAAUGUAAGUUUUAGCUUGGCAACUGAGGCUUAGGGGGGGAACUGGAUGGAUGAAAGGGCCGACAUGAUGUCGGCGUUCGUCGAAGCUGCGAGGUUGUCCGUUGGAGCUGCGUGGCUGGCCGCUGCAGCCAUAACUUGCGCCCUCUUGAGCGUCUGGGCCGCACCUUCUGCCGAGGCUGUACCGGAAUUGCUGGUGGUAUGUUUACGUUUUACUGCGGCUUUUCGAGGAGUGGAAGGUGGAGGAGUGCUUGCAGGUGGACGCUGGGGCUUGGAGCAGCUCAGGAAAAGCCCAAACAAUUCCCGGUGAGAGGCGCCGAUCGGGGCGGGAAUGUUGUUCAUAAACAGGAACUGUAGCAACUUUGGGAUCGGCCAUUUGUUAAUCGAAGGAUCCGGCGUAUUCUUUCUUGCUAACCUGGAGCUUCUGCGGAGAGAGGAACCUCCCUCCAGGCCGAUCGCAUCCUCUGCAUCGGACUCUUGAGGUGACUCCAAGAUGCAGUCGAACUGCGGCUCGUCCUCGUCGUACGCUGAGGACAUGGUCACGAGGAGCAACGAGGUAAGAACUAACACAAACGUUUUGGCAGGCAUACGGAAAUUGCUGGUUAGCUGUCAGAGCAGAGGAAGAGGCUGGGUUAGUGCAGUUUAAAAUAAGGCGCUCUAUAGGCAAAGGACCAAUAGGAGCUUGGAGUGAAUCAGCUGACUAUCAUCUCGUUGAGGUGGCUACUAGCCAUUGGCUGCAGAUCAGCGCUUGACGUCGUGUCCUGACAGAACUAACGCUAUGCUUCAUUUACCACUUUGUAGAAUGUUUUUGUACUUAAUUUUGACCUGUUGCCCCGUUUGCCUUUGGCUUUUGAGAUUACUCCUAUGGGGAUGCAGAAGAGAAUAAUAAAUAUGGGCUAAGAAGAGCUUUACCCAUCAUACAACAUAGGGCAAAUGGAAUCAAGAUGCAUUAAUCCUUCCAGAUUUCCCACAGAGCUGUUUUUAUGAGAAAUGUGUCUAAUUCUCCCACACUAAUGAACUUAACCUGUACAGACCCUUGGGUACAGCGAUGUAGCUCAAUGAGCUGCACAUACACGAAAUGAAAAGUUUUUUAAAAAAGUGUUUACAGUACAUACGCAGAAGUGAGGAAUAAAAUUAGACAGCCAAGCAGGCUGACUACAUCGAGACAUGCGUCGGUUGUAAAAUAUUUGUCGGCUAUAACUUACGAAUCUAAACGGUCCGUGAUACUUAACCACGCUGGCUUUCACAAUGGCAACAGUGUUGCCCCUGUUUUGAAUUUUCCCCUUGUACUCUUCGUACAACUCCAUGAGGAGUGUUUGCUCCACCACUGAAAAAGACUCCGCUCUGCCUUUUUUUCCAUGAUCUCGUCAUUUUGACAAUCGAUACGUUGGGGCUUUUUAUGUACCGCAGAGGCGCGCAUAGCCGCGGCUUGGAUCAGCCUGGCUAGAAUAAGCAUUGAUGAAAAACAGCUGAGCCUUGUUAGUGGAACAAGUCGCAGCUAAGAUUAAAGUGGCUGCUUAUUCAAGCCACGCUUACCGGCGAUAGCCCAGCCUUCUUUAGCCAGCUUCGUGUGCAGCGGCGCGGGGUAUGGGGGUUGCAGGGGCUGCGUGAUCACAACAUCUUGGUACUAUUUAGUAGCAGUGCAUGCCCUUUGUAAAAACCCUGGUAAAAACAGUUUUUCAGAACUGCUUACUUGUGCUUCCUACCCAUUCGGCCACUGUAAUAACCGUUGUUUUAGCCUUCACGCAACAUUUUUGUUCUUAUUCAUGAAACGCUUAAAUCGGGGACAGUUUCGGAGACAGCUUUUGCUGGGGACAGGUCAUCCAAUUCGGGGACUGUCCCCGGAAAUUGGUGACGUCUGGUCACCUUACACAACAGGGCUUCACAAACUUACAUCUUAACAACAAAAUUAGGGCCUAUUUAAUAAUAUCAAGUCAUCUAUACAGUAUGGUAAAGCAAUAGUGGAAACAUAACAAACCUUGCUUUGUACGUCUCAGAGUUGUGGCAUCAAUCUGGUGAGUGGGUAGUGCUUGGUUUCAAAUGCCCAAACAUCUACCCAAUGUGUUGGGUAGUCCACAAUAAACCAACAAAACUGUAUAGAAAUUUCAACCCAACAGCUAAUAACUCUGUUCCCAACAUAAAUAACCUUGUGAAGUGGGUACUCAGAAUACCCAACUCCAUGAAACUAACCCAAAUAAACUGAACAACAGGCUCAAACUAGUGGUUGGGUUUUGAUGUUCUCAUACAAUUAUUGCUAUCUAUCAGAUAUCAUUAUUGUAGUUAAGGUCUCCUAUUAUGGCAUUUUUUUAUCAAGUUUAAAUCAGUCCCAGAGGUCCCAGGAUAGUAAAUUUGAAGUUUGUUGUCUAAAACACUAGUUUAUUUGUGGAUAUCAGCCAGCCUGUACCCCCUCUUUUUGAGCUCCACUGGGAACGGGCUGAUUCUGUACCUGUACCUUUAAAUGAUAAUGAGCUGUGUGUAACCUUGCCUUUGCUCCCCAAGGCCACUCUGAGCUGCUGUUGUUGUGCCGUAGAAUGCACCCCCUGACAGGAACGCAGUUGAAAGGACAUAACAAGGUGAAUAAUCCAAGGUUUCCUUACCAUUGGAUGGAUUCAAAAGCGUGUGCCUUUAUGAUUUCAUUCAGGCUAUUCAGAUAUGCCGAAAACAAUAGUCCUCUGAUUUGGAAUAUUUGCUGUCCUGAAAAUAUGACGAUCUCUACCGUGACAGAUACUGUACAGUUUAUAUACCCAGGUGCACCUCUAUGUGUGCUUUUUUGAAAGACAUAAAAACAGAACGAAAGUUUGCUGCUCUAUUUGACAUGUUGUCAUGAUCCGACACUUGUGUUUUUUUUUAAUAUGAGAUCAUUUUCUUCCAUUUUAAGAAGCUAAUGAGUGGAUGGGAUGCAAGGGUGUAUUCUACGGCAUAACACCUACACCGGCACAGCCGUGGGGGUCCAGGUGUGGUGGUCUGGAGAUCUUCUGAGAACCUCUUCAGAGGUCUGCUAUAGAAGCGAGUCCAAAGAUUAAUACCAACGAUGGUAAACACACGCGAUUGCAGCCAAAGCACUCGUCAUAGGGGUGGUAGUAAAGCAACAUAUAAUGUUCAAACUUACAGCUUCCGCGUUUAAAGAUGAGUCCCUGUAUUUUUUUUUUCAUCCAUUCACUCCAAAUGGCCUGAAACAUGCUCUCCAAUAGGUCCUCAGCAGUCAUUUUAAUCCUAACCCCUAACCCUAACCCUAACCCCAACCCUAACCACACAGUCGGUAAGGAUCCAGGUUUUAUCUUCAACUUUUUAGCGAAUCCUGCUUUAACUGCCCCUCGUUAGUAAAACAGUCUGUGUUGAAAUGAUUAGCAUUUUCUGAGUUGUUGUGGGUACAUUUCCAUCAAAAAUAAAAUUAAUCCACUGGAUCCUCAAAUCUUCCGAUGAAGGAAGCAGAAAUAGACUCCUGUCUUCAUUUGUGCAGCCAAGAACCAAGCAGCAGCUUCGACAUAGUUACAGUACCAGAGUGGUGUGUGCAAGGGGAAAAAAUGGUGGAAGCUACCUCAGCGAAGAAAUGUUAGAGGGUUGGGCUGACGAUUAUCAGGGGCAGUGCCACCAACAUGUAUGAGAAGCUUAUGCAGCUAUGUCAUCAUAACAAACAGCUUUUCCAUUUCCAUCGGCCCGUUUGUGCUCAUGUUUUCAGAGAGGAGGGUAAAUCAAGAGAGGGAGACAAUGAAAUUUUUUCAUGUUGUGGAGGAUUGUUGGCUUCAAGGGGAUGCUUAUUAUUGGUAGAAAACCACCCAAAAGUGGAUUUUUCAUUAUAGAGGACCUUUAACAGCAGCUAACAGCCUCCACAGAAACAUCCAAUGAAAUGUCUCAGUCUGUGUGACUCCACUUUACUCAUGCUUGACAGCUCUCUGCAUCUCUGUUUUAAUGUCCCUGCAUGCUGUGAUUUUACUGUGUGUCAUCUUUGCAUGCUGUGCCACACACACGCACGUACGCACGCACGCACAUACGCAUACAGAACACAAAGUAAAAGCUUCACCUGGAGGAUUAGAUUUGGUCCUCCAGUUAACAAUAUCAGACUGUAACUUCAUGCUUGCAAACAGUUGCGUGGCAACUCAAAUUGCAAAGAACAGAGUGGAUCUUGUUUGACUUAACCUAUCAGCUGCUGUGUGAGCUUUAACUUUCUGGUGCUUAAUGUUUUAACUCUGAAAAUGCUUCAUUAUGAAAGCACAUUGUAUUAACACAGCUGUCUUAUUCCAAAACAUUAGAGCAUCUGGAUACACCUGUAUCUAUAUACAGAUGUUUUAAGUCUUUACACUAUAUAUGGUUAUUAACUGCUAAUAAACCAACAGAUGGUGUGUGUCCAAGGCUGCUUGGAGACUGUGGUGAAGAACUGUUUCAACCUCUCCACAGGAUCAGUCUACAGCUGGGGCGGGUACCUACUCUGUGGAAAACAUCCUGCAUUGUGCCAGUACCAAAAACAAAAUGUCCUGCUGAACUCGAUGACUACAGAACAGUGGCCCUCACUUCACACAUCAUGAAAACCCUGGAGCGGCUGAUUCUACGCCCUCUGAGGUCUGAGGUCAAAGACAAACUGGACUCCUGCAGUUUGCAUACAAAGAACACAUUGGAGUGGAUGAUGCUGUCCUCUACAUGCUUCACCGUGCCCUGUCUCAUCUGGAGGAACCUGGGGUUUAUGUGAGGAUCAUGUUCUUCGACUUUUCAAGUGCAUUCAACACCAUCCAACCCACCAUACUCAAAGAUAAGCUCACAGAGAUGGGAGUGGAUCCUUCCUGUGUUUCCUGGAUCGCAGAUUACCUGACAGGAAGGCCACAGUUUGUCAGGCUGGGGAACUGUGUUUCUGGGACAUUAAUGAGCAGGACAAGGACUCCACAAGGGAAAAUCCUGUUCACACUGUAAACAUCAGACUUCAAAUACAGCACUAGGUAUGUCACAUUUACCGGUAAAAUAAUAAAUCGUGGUAAAACGUCUGAUGGUUAGUACUACUGUUUCAAAUUUUAAUCACCGUUAAAACCAUUUUGAUUGCCGCACUCUGGAAAAGCUCACAGUGAUAGUGCUCAAUGCUGAGAAGAGCAGCCGCACACAGCAGUCCUUUAGACACAGGCGCGCCACACGCAUGUGCACCGCACAGUAUAGAACUUACAAACAUGGUGGAGGGCAGUUCUGCCGACCGUGUUGAAGAGAUUUUUCCGCUGUUAAAGAAAACAAAGUCGGAAGUCUGGGCAUAUUUUGGCUUCUACAAAGAUGCAGAAGGGACACUGAUUGGAGGGUUGCCAGGAAGCAUUUGUGCAUAUCAGCAACCAGUGUGCCAUCCAAGAGGCUAUUCAGUGCCAGCCGGCACAUCGUUUCCCCUUGCUGAUCACUACUUAAACCAGGACAGUAAAUAUGCUGACAUUUUUACAUUUCAAUCUUAAGCGGUGAACAAGGUCAGCAGCACCUUAUGGUGGAGAAAACAGACAAUUGGUGUGGUUCAUUUGAUUUGUUUACAUAUUUCAUGUUAUCUUAAACACCUGUACUUUGCAUUUGUUUACAUGUGGCUGUAUUGUUUCAUAUAAUAUAGUUGCUCUGUUAUAUAUUUGAAAGAGAUCUUUUUGAGGACUGAAGAUUCUUAAAAUUUGCACAAUAAGGAAUGUCAUUUUAUUUAAAUGUUAUUUAUUUGUUAUUGUGUUAAUGUUUAUGCCACUGGCACAUUACUUUGUACUUUGUUAUUACUAGUACUAGUGUUGAUUACCUCUGGCUCUUUUAAAGCCCCCAUCUUUAAUUUUUUUAAGGUUAUUGUUCCUCUGUUAUUUAAGGUUAAGGAAAAAUUCGUUCUGCAUGUUAUUUUGAUUGUUAUUCCAAAAUAAAACUUUGUUGAAUGAUUUCAGGGCGUGUAUAAGUACUUUUUAAACAUUUUGAACAUAUUUCCACAAUACUGUGAUAAUAAUGAUCAUGGUAAUAAUUUUGGUCACAAUAAUCAUGACGUGAAAUUUUCAUAUCGUUACAUCACUAUGCAACACUGAGUCCUGCCACAUCCAGAAAUACUCAGAUGACACCACUAUUGUGGCAUGUAUCAGAAAUGAACAAGAAGCUGAAUACAGAGAUUUGAUAAGAGCCUUCAGUGACUGGAGUCACAAAAACUGCCUCCUCCUCAACACCUCGGAGACAAAAGAGAUGGUCAUCGACUUCUGCAGAUCCAAACCCCCUCUUCUCAGCCAGUGAACACCUGUGGAGUGGACAUCGAAGUGGUGACAUCAUAGAAAUACCUAGGUGUACAUCUGGAUAAUAAGUUGGAUUGGUCUAAGAACAUAGACUUCAAUUACAAAAAAGGGCAGAGCCACCUCUUUUGCCUGAGAAGACUCCGACCAAUAGACAUCUGUAGGAAGAUGCUGCAGAUGUUUUAUCAGUCUGUGGUAGCAAGUGUGCUGUUCUUCGCUGCAGUCUGCUGGGGAAGAAGCAUCAAACACAAAGAUGCAAGACGUCUAAAUAAACUGGAGAAAAAAGCUGGCUUUGUGGUUGGAUUCAAAUUGGACUCAGUGGAGGAUGUGGUGGAGAGAUCUACACUGAGGAAGGUGAGGACUAUUCACGGAUCGCCCACUUCAUAAUGCCUUGAUGGACCAAAGUGCCGAUGGUGGUGGACGACUCCUCUCAUUUCACUGCAGGACUAAAACAUUUAAAAGAUCUUGUGUGCCACAGCCAUCAGACUCUAUAAUUCUUCUGUAAAUAGUAGAUGACUUGAGACAUGAGAAAUGAGAGUCAGUGGCAGCUGGUGAGAAAAAUAGUAGGUGGGGCUGAAGGUUUGGAAACCAAAGGCCUGUAGGGGGGUAUUGUCCCCCGGGAGAUUUAUUAAAUUUUUUUGGGGGUUUUCACAUGUAAAUGAAGCAUUCUGGUGCAUUCUGAGAAAAUAAUUAAGUAACAUACAAUCUUGACCUACAAAGACAAAUGGAGUGGGGAAACUGUAUUUCAAUUUAUUGAUAGGGCAUUAUAGCCGACACACAGCCUACUAAAAUUCAAUGUAAUCCUAUGAUAUAGAAACUGACGGUAGCGUACUUGUGUACAUUUGCCUGCAUCUCAACAGGUUAGACGACAUCAAAGAAGCAAAGGAGCACACAUAAACUGUAUAAAGAAUGGACAGAGUCUGCCUCCUCUCUGGGUGAAGCCACUCCGAGAACAGCACCCUCUGUUAAUGGGCUGCAGUAUAGGUCAUAAAUCCCGCCUCCGCCAGCAAAGCUUAUGGGGCUGUGGACAAACUUUAGAAAUUUAUUACACAGAACAUAAAUUUUUCUCCCCCCUGCUUGUGAUGUUGACAUGUAGUUACAGUAAGACUGGUUUGUGCUCAAGUCCUCUUUUUUCCGUGCAGCUCCG